GUGUCAGCAGCCGCGGUAAUACGAAGGGUCCAAGCGUUGUUCGGAAUCAUUGGGCGUAAAGCGAGCGCAGGCGGAUCAGUAAGUCAGGUGUGAAAUCUCGAGGCUCAACCUCGAAAUUGCGCCUGAAACUACUAGUCUAGAAUGUCGGAGGGGAUAGGGGAAUUUCACGUGUAGGGGUAAAAUCCGUAGAGAUGUGAAGGAACACCGGAGGCGAAGGCGCCUAUCUGGACGACUAUUGACGCUGAGGCUCGAAAGCGUGGGGAGCAAACAGGAUUAGAUACCCCGGUAGUCC
rnacentral:rRNA from 1 species